UUAGUAGCACACCAAUUGUUUAUUAAUCAUCAAAAUAAGGAUUAAAACAUUUAAGUUCAACACAUGCUUUUGUGUGUGUUGGUGUGAGUUGAGAGGUUUUGGGGUGGCUGGAUGUGCUUGUGAGGCUUGGGUUCUGCCCUUUGGAAGAGCCCAGGUUCGGCCGCCGAAGCCAGUUUCGACCACCAAACCUGCCUGGAGGCAACUUUAGGCCGCCUAAACUCGCCCCCAAAAGUUUGGACUUUUGGCUCUGGAGGGGAAUUUCAGCCGCCGAACUUGCCCCCGAAAGUGCCUGAGUUUCGGCUCUGGAAGCACUUUCGGCCGCCGAACCCUGCCCCCGAAAGUGCAUGACUUUUGGCUCUGGAGGGACCUUCGGCCGCCGAACCUGCCGCCGAAAGUCCCCUGUCCAGCCUUCCUUUGCCUGUUUUGCAUGCAUGUUUUAUGAUGUUUUAGGGGGUUUUGGGGAGAUGUUUAUAGUCGUGUUAGAGUAUGUUUGGUCCCUCAUUUGAGUCCACCUAUGUAGGAUCGGACCUGAGGAACCGAGGUGAUCAGCAGUGAGAUAGCUACUUCAGAGUUAGUUCAGAGUUAGCCAGAGGUGAGUAGAACUAAACUAAUCCUUUAUUUCAAGAAAGCAAAUGUUUUAAGCAUGUUCAUGCAUCAUGAUAUAUAAUAGGUUGUUGGCAUUAGAAUUCACGAAUAUGACGCAUUGCAUUAUUCAUUAUGGGUGUGGAUGGACAACAGGACGACCCAUUAGCCCUUUAGAUUUUAUGCUAUGUAACAGAAGUCCUGAGGAGCCCCACCGAGGGCCGGGCACAGAGCUUAUGUAUGUAACAGAAUUCUUGACGAGCUCCACUGCUCCACCGAGGGCCGAGCACAGAGUAGAGGGAUUUUUGGGUCAGUCCAUCUGUGAUGUGAAUUGUUUGUGCUGUGACGCAUUCAUAAAAGCAUAUGUUUAUUAUGAUGUUUUUAUAGUUCUGCUCAUUGGGCUGUUGUAGCUCACCCCUCUCCCCUAACCCGCAGGUUUGCAGGAGCUCAGGUAGUUAUGGGAAAGCCAGCAGAGUUAUGGCUAUGUUAUGUAAUAGAGUUAUAGUGAACAUGUAAUGUAAUGUAAUGUAAUAUAUUAUAAUGUAAAGAAAUGUAUUGAGAAUUAGUAUUGUGCUUGGCCCUAAUAUAUAGAAAUCCCUUUUUGUACAUGAUCUAUAUUGAAUGUUUUAAUAAUAAGAAAUGUUGAACCAAGCUUGAUGU
rnacentral:lncRNA from 1 species